rnacentral:rRNA from 1 species
AUUGAACGCUGGCGGCAGGCCUAACACAUGCAAGUCGAGCGGCAGCGGAAAGUAGCUUGCUACUUUGCCGGCGAGCGGCGGACGGGUGAGUAAUGUCUGGGAAACUGCCUGAUGGAGGGGGAUAACUACUGGAAACGGUAGCUAAUACCGCAUAACGUCGCAAGACCAAAGAGGGGGACCUUCGGGCCUCUUGCCAUCAGAUGUGCCCAGAUGGGAUUAGCUAGUAGGUGGGGUAACGGCUCACCUAGGCGACGAUCCCUAGCUGGUCUGAGAGGAUGACCAGCCACACUGGAACUGAGACACGGUCCAGACUCCUACGGGAGGCAGCAGUGGGGAAUAUUGCACAAUGGGCGCAAGCCUGAUGCAGCCAUGCCGCGUGUAUGAAGAAGGCCUUCGGGUUGUAAAGUACUUUCAGCGGGGAGGAAGGCGAUAAGGUUAAUAACCUUGUCGAUUGACGUUACCCGCAGAAGAAGCACCGGCUAACUCCGUGCCAGCAGCCGCCGCGG